UUUCAGCAAGAGCAGCCUUGUAGCAGGGAGGUCUCUGCUCAUUUUCAAUGCGUGUUUUAUGGCUUUAUUUAUUCUUUUUUUUUUUGUUACUAGCUCUCCAGGUAAUAAGCCCCUAUCUGGCUGGGGAGAGAGCGUAAUGGGGGCUCUGGCUGGAGAGGCAGAGAGCGGCUGAGCUGGACCCUCCUCCGACGGCAAGGGAAGCGUUCACUGCCCUGGUUGAAAAGCCCAUUGGGAGGCGGUCAGUGCUUUUGGGAGGCGACUGGCCCAUCCACUGCAGCCCUGGACAUGCGCCAUCACAAGUGGGAAGAAAAAGCGGAAAUCUUUUGCGAACCAGAUUUCAUCUCGAGUCGACCCGCACGCCUCCUUUUGAUCCGUUUGAAACCAUGCUCUCAUUGCCAGCUCUUUGCACUUGUUGCAUCUCUUCGAGCCUGCCUUUUGUUGCGUUUCUGAAUGGUUUGUUUGGAACCAAAGACCUGAAACUUGCUUCUAAUGAACUUUUUGCGCCUGCGCAUUCAUUUCCCCACAAGCCGUUUGGGUUUGAAUGGAUCGGCGGGUUUCAGCUCAAAAAGCAUCCCAUCCUGACCGCGUGGGUGGAAAGGCAGGGAGCGGAGCACCUCCUGGGGACCAGCCAGCACCGUUCCCGCAGUGCACCGAGUUUUCCUGGGAGUCUCCCAUUGAUUUGGAGAUGCCUACACUUGCUUUCAAAAUCACGGGGCCCUUUUUUGGAGAGCUCAGUUGCGGGGUCGGACAGAAGGUGGAAGAAGAGAUUGUACAAGCUACCCAACAGGGUUUCCAAUGCCCUUGUCCAAGUGCUGCUGCCAAGCCCUGAGCACGGGUGGAGAGUCACAGGAAAGGCUUCAGGCACAGACAACAUACAGAGACGUCGGCAGGUACUCCCGUGCAUCCCGGGUACACCUGUGGCUCGUGCGAACAGUGUAUCCGAACACCUCCAGCUCUUUGCAAUACUUUUCUCUUUCUCCCUAUUUGGCUGGGGAAGGCGGUUGGAAAAGCAAGAGAAAGGCCCGUGUCUUCUCCACCAGCGAUCCCCCAAGCCUUGCCCUUUCGCUGCCUGUUGUCAAGCAUUGCCUGCAAGGAAAAAUGCUGUGUGAGUUUAUAUUGGUGAGAUGUCUACGCUGCCCUUCCCCAACAAGGCUCAAAGCGGCUUAAAGUGCAAGACAAAACACCAUCGAAACAGAAUCAAAUAUUGGAAUAAGAAGGUGCCGCCAAAAACUGCGCCCCCUCACCUUCCAAAGCAGGCCAGCCCGUGCCACCCUCUCCGUCUCCCUUGGCCAGCGCGGUCUCUCCCCACCCCACAUUCACUUGCUUCAUCAGCGCAGGGCUGGCGCAGAGACUGAGCUCCCGAGUUCGUGCUCUGGGAAGCGAUCCGGGACGUUGCCAGGCCUGCGGCGUGGAAGUUGUCGGAGGGAGCUUGUUUCUCCGAGGCAGCCUUGCAAUCUGCAUGGGGACAGCACAGCCAUGAUGUAGGUGACUGGACCAAGGGCAACCUAGGCAGUCUGUGGCAGAGAAAGGAGCCGAACCCGCAGGCCCUGAGUCCAGAUUAGCACCCUCAUGACAUGAAGCUGUUCCUGUCCCCUGUAACAAUGGGGACUGCUGCUGUUGUAGACAGAAAGCCAGGUCCUAACAUGGGCCCAGCCCCAUGCUAGACCUUAAAGAUGAAGCCCAGGGUCUUGAGUUGUGUUUGGGGAUGAUAGGGGAGACCAUGCAAAGGAUGUGUGCCUGGAAGCUGGCCGGUCACGGGUCUCCGCAGCACAUGGGUCCCAGCUCAUGAGUGGUGGUAGUGACCAACAGCUCCGUCCUUUGAUCUGUGCUGGGGGUGUUUGUGGUUUUGGAUAGACACCAGCCCUACAAAACUCCCCGGGAUUAUCUCCAGCUUGCAGAAAAAUGCAUGCAGGUUCCUUACCGAGACCGUGCCCUGCUAUGCUUCCCCAUGGACAUGAGAGCAAAGCCCACCGGCUCCCUGCCAGAGCCUGCAAGCAGGUGGGGGCAGCCCGCCGCACCCUCAUUCGGGCUCCGCUUGGCUCUGGGCCCCUGCUCCCACCCCAAGACAGCUGCAUUCCCCAUGAUGCUGGAGGGGGUGGCACGUUCUCCCUCAUCUGGGUAUCUCCGCGGGCGUGACAUACCAGCUGGUGCACACGGGUCGCUGCGCGUGCCACGAGCCUGUACAGAAACCAGCCCAAGCAUUCAACGAGCUUAGAAGCCGGAGCAAUGGAGGGGGAAGAGAGAGAGAGCUCAUGAAUCUGCUCCAAACUGUAAUUACGGGACUCAGAACAGAUACCACCUGCCCAUUAAACCAAAUAAGUUUCCUUCCCAGCCCCCCGCUUCCCCCCGACCCCCUGCAACCGUCCCUCGAAAAGUCGACAGGAUGGAUCUGUCACUUUUUAAAUAUACCUGUCAAAUACCUUCUCCAUAUUUCUCCAGUAACGAUCUGUUAAGAGUCCCUUGCUCCGCCUCUCGCAGUAUUAAACCGUCAGGCACUGAGCUUUGGAGAGAUUAAGUCAUAAAAAUCGGAAGGGGCUGCGCGGUAACAGCCCCAGCCUGAGCCGUAACAGCAGUGAAAUCAUCCCCAAACUAUUUCAGCAAAGUCCAUUUCCAUUUCCAUUUAACACCUGACCACCACUCAAGAGUUACUCAACGAAAUAAAAAGCUCGUGUAUUGUU